UACGAAGGGGGCUAGCGUUGCUCGGAUUGACUGGGCGUAAAGGGCGCGUAGGCGGCCAACUAAGUCAGACGUGAAAUCCCUCGGCUUAACCGGGGAACUGCGUCUGAUACUGGAUGGCUUGAGGUUGGGAGAGGGAUGCGGAAUUCCAGGUGUAGCGGUGAAAUGCGUAGAUAUCUGGAGGAACACCGGUGGCGAAGGCGGCAUCCUGGACCAAUUCUGACGCUGAGGAGCGAAAGCCAGGGGAGCAAACGGG
rnacentral:rRNA from 1 species